UACGUAGGGGCUAGCGUUAUCCGGAAUUAUUGGGCGUAAAGAGCGCGCAGGUGGUUGAUUAAGUCUGAUGUGAAAGCCCACGGCUUAACCGUGGAGGGUCAUUGGAAACUGGUCGACUUGAGUGCAGAAGAGGGAAGUGGAAUUCCAUGUGUAGCGGUGAAAUGCGUAGAGAUAUGGAGGAACACCAGUGGCGAAGGCGGCUUCCUGGUCUGUAACUGACGCUGAGGCGCGAAAGCGUGGGGAGCAAACAGGAUUAGAUACCCCCGUAGU
rnacentral:rRNA from 1 species